UGGGGAAUAUUGCACAAUGGGCGCAAGCCUGAUGCAGCGACGCCGCGUGGGGGAUGACGGCCUUCGGGUUGUAAACUCCUUUCGCUAGGGACGAAGCUUUUUGUGACGGUACCUAGAUAAGAAGCACCGGCUAACUACGUGCCAGCAGCCGCGGUAAUACGUAGGGUGCGAGCGUUGUCCGGAAUUACUGGGCGUAAAGGGCUCGUAGGUGGUUUGUCGCGUCGUCUGUGAAAUUCCGGGGCUUAACUCCGGGCGUGCAGGCGAUACGGGCAUAACUUGAGUACUGUAGGGGUAACUGGAAUUCCUGGUGUAGCGGUGAAAUGCGCAGAUAUCAGGAGGAACACCGAUGGCGACGGCAGGUUACUGGGCAGUUACUGACGCUGAGGAGCGAAAGCAUGGGUAGCGAACAGG
rnacentral:rRNA from 1 species